rnacentral:lncRNA from 1 species
CUGCUUGCGACUGCAUUGGGGAGAGACUAUUGCUGGAGAAGAAAACAAAGUCUUCAACAAGCACUCUGUUUGGGGGAACAACCCACCACAACAACUCUGCUUGGGGAACAACCCCACCAACAAAGCAGGAUAAAGAGGAUACAACCAUGCUAGGAAUUAUGAACAAAUGUCUUACCUGUAGGAAAUCAUGCCACCCUUGG